rnacentral:tRNA from 1 species
GGGCACCUGGCUCAGUCAGAAGAGCAUGUGACUCUGGAUCUCAAGGGCAUGAGUUUGAACCCCAUGUUGGGCA